rnacentral:rRNA from 1 species
GCAGCUUGCUGCUUUGCUGACGAGUGGCGGACGGGUGAGUAAUGUCUGGGAAACUGCCUGAUGGAGGGGGAUAACUACUGGAAACGGUAGCUAAUACCGCAUAACGUCGCAAGACCAAAGAGGGGGACCUUCGGGCCUCUUGCCAUCGGAUGUGCCCAGAUGGGAUUAGCUAGUAGGUGGGGUAACGGCUCACCUAGGCGACGAUCCCUAGCUGGUCUGAGAGGAUGACCAGCCACACUGGAACUGAGACACGGUCCAGACUCCUACGGGAGGCAGCAGUGGGGAAUAUUGCACAAUGGGCGCAAGCCUGAUGCAGCCAUGCCGCGUGUAUGAAGAAGGCCUUCGGGUUGUAAAGUACUUUCAGCGGGGAGGAAGGGAGUAAAGUUAAUACCUUUGCUCAUUGACGUUACCCGCAGAAGAAGCACCGGCUAACUCCGUGCCAGCAGCCGCGGUAAUACGGAGGGUGCAAGCGUUAAUCGGAAUUACUGGGCGUAAAGCGCACGCAGGCGGUUUGUUAAGUCAGAUGUGAAAUCCCCGGGCUCAACCUGGGAACUGCAUCUGAUACUGGCAAGCUUGAGUCUCGUAGAGGGGGGUAGAAUUCCAGGUGUAGCGGUGAAAUGCGUAGAGAUCUGGAGGAAUACCGGUGGCGAAGGCGGCCCCCUGGACGAAGACUGACGCUCAGGUGCG